rnacentral:rRNA from 1 species
GGAUGGCCCUGUUGCAGGACUAAAGACCGCUUUCUAAUCCAUUGAUCUUCGGAUUAAUAUUCAUAACAUCUGGCCUCAAAUCAGGUAGGACUACCCGCUGAACUUAAGCAUAUCAAUAAGCGGAGGAAAAGAAACUAACAAGGAUUCCCCUAGUAACGGCGAGUGAAGCGGGAAGAGCUCAAAUUUGAAAUCUGGUAGCCUUCGGUUGCCCGAGUUGUAAUCUAGAGAAGUGUUUUCCGCGUUGGCCCAUGUACAAGUCCCUUGGAACAGGGCGUCAUAGAGGGUGAGAAUCCCGUCCUUGACAUGGACCCCCAAUGCUUUGUGAUACACUUUCAACGAGUCGAGUUGUUUGGGAAUGCAGCUCAAAAUGGGUGGUGAAUUCCAUCUAAAGCUAAAUAUUGGCGAGAGACCGAUAGCGAACAAGUACCGUGAGGGAAAGAUGAAAAGCACUUUGGAAAGAGAGUUAAACAGUACGUGAAAUUGUUGAAAGGGAAACGAUUGAAGUCAGUCAUGCUCUUUGGAUUAAGCCGUUCUGCGGUGUAUUUCAUUGAGCGGGGUCAACAUCAGUUUUGAUCGCUGGAAAAGGGCAGGAGGAAGGUAGCACUCUCGGGUGAACUUAUAGCCUCUUGUCGUAUACAGUGAUUGGGACUGAGGAACGCAGCAUGCCUUUUGGCCGGGAUUCGUCCACGUAC